GAGCGGAUGAAGAGAGCUUGCUCUCUGAUUCAGCGGCGGACGGGUGAGUAAUGCCUAGGAAUCUGCCUGGUAGUGGGGGACAACGUCUCGAAAGGGACGCUAAUACCGCAUACGUCCUACGGGAGAAAGCAGGGGACCUUCGGGCCUUGCGCUAUCAGAUGAGCCUAGGUCGGAUUAGCUAGUUGGUGAGGUAAUGGCUCACCAAGGCGACGAUCCGUAACUGGUCUGAGAGGAUGAUCAGUCACACUGGAACUGAGACACGGUCCAGACUCCUACGGGAGGCAGCAGUGGGGAAUAUUGGACAAUGGGCGAAAGCCUGAUCCAGCCAUGCCGCGUGUGUGAAGAAGGUCUUCGGAUUGUAAAGCACUUUAAGUUGGGAGGAAGGGCAGUAAGCGAAUACCUUGCUGUUUUGACGUUACCGACAGAAUAAGCACCGGCUAACUCUGUGCCAGCAGCCGCGGUAAUACAGAGGGUGCAAGCGUUAAUCGGAAUUACUGGGCGUAAAGCGCGCGUAGGUGGUUUGUUAAGUUGAAUGUGAAAUCCCCGGGCUCAACCUGGGAACUGCAUCCAAAACUGGCAAGCUAGAGUAGGGCAGAGGGUGGUGGAAUUUCCUGUGUAGCGGUGAAAUGCGUAGAUAUAGGAAGGAACACCAGUGGCGAAGGCGACCACCUGGGCUCAUACUGACACUGAGGUGCAAAAGCGUGGGGAGCAAACCCGAUUAGAUACCCUGGCAGUCCACGCCCAAAACGAUGUCAACUAUCCGUUGGAGGCCUUGAGCUUUUAGUGGCGCUCCCAGCCGCUUAAGUUUACCGCCUGGGGCAGUACGGGCCGCUAGGGUUAAACUUAAAAU
rnacentral:rRNA from 1 species